GCCGAAGUGGCGGAAUUGGUAGACGCGCAUGAUUCAGGGUCAUGUGACCGCAAGGUCGUGUGGGUUCAAGUCCCACCUUCGGCACCA
rnacentral:tRNA from 2 species